AUCUAGCUGAAGUGUCUUAAAUAGGACGAAGCGUGCGUCCUGGAU
rfam:Schistosoma haematobium scaffold272_25, whole genome shotgun sequence.